GGAGAGUUGGCCGAGCGGCUUAAGGCGCACGCUUGGAAAGCGUGUAUACUCCAAAAGGGUAUCAAGGGUUCGAAUCCCUUACUCUCCGCUA
rnacentral:tRNA from 1 species